CAUGUGAUAUCGCUUUGUGUUCUCAUUUUGCCUGUGGUACCGCUUUAUGCUCUUAACUUGUGGGUGAUAUUAUAAUUGAAUUCAUAAACAUAUUUGAGGUUUUGCAUGUGAAUUUAAGUGUGCCUGAAUAUUGUGAAUGUUGAACCAUGUAAUUAUGUGUUGGAUGCCAUAAGCCAUGCCGCAGGUUGAAGUCAUACUGUUCUCAAAUUCCAAACCCGUGGCCGCUCGCUAGCUCAUCGCUAGGCGAGCCUGCAGCGAGCCUUCGCUGAGCCUUCGCUAGGCGAAGCAGAGGCGAACGGGACAGUGGCUGCUUUGUCUCUUUGUUGUCCAUUUUAUGUUUAUCUAAUCAUGAUUCUGCAUUAUUUGGCU
rnacentral:lncRNA from 1 species